CCUGGCUUUCAGCAGAGCCUAUCUUAAAAAUGCAUUCGAUGCAGAUGGUUACAUUAAUGUAAAAGGCAGGCCAUUGUGGCUAUAAAUAACUCAAGCUGAGUCCUGCUGACAGUGGGACACCUGACAGGAAAUACUGUAUUGUCCUCCCUUCUGAACAAGGCAGUGACAUACACAUUAUCUUCCCAUUUUCGAAGGCAGGGUCCACAGGAGUCCAGCAAGCCCCCUGGGAAGGCAGAUCCUUUACCAUGAGACCCAUGAAAGGGAGCUUUCCAAAGCAGGUGCACCAUACAUAAAAAUAAUGACCCCGUUCCCCAAAGAUGUCCUCACUGGAAUCCUGGAGCCUGGGAACAAAAUAUUCUUUACAUGGCAAAAGGAAUUGUACAGAUGUAAAAUUCUCCCAAGAAGAUCCCAGAUUGUUUGAGUGGCCCCAGUUAAUCUCUAGGUCCUUAUAAAGGAAAGAGAGGGACAGGAGAGUCAGAGACGUGAGGAGGGCAGCAGAGCUUGAAGGGAGGCGAGAUUUGAAGAUGCUGCGCUGCUGACUUUGAAGAUGAGCCAGAAAUGCAGGCUUCCAAUAAAACUGGAAAAGGCGCAUCAGUGUAUCCUCCCCUAAAGCCUGCAGAUGAAACAGCCCUAGAGACACUGCGGCUUUAGAAUUUCUGACCUCCAGAACAGUUGGAUUAUGAGUUUGUGUUGUUUUAAGCCACUCACCAACUUGAGAUAGUUAUAGAAACCAUAGGAAAUUCAUACAGAAGGCGCUUGAUCUAAAGUGAUUCUAAUGAAAACAUUUUUUUCAGACUGUGUACUUUUUGCAUUUCUCCCUUGGUGUCUGGAGCAGGGUGGACAUGGGAGGAGAGGCUUUGGAGGUAAUGAGGGGACGCUUGGUGCUGGCCAACCACUCCCCCAUCUGUGGUGAAGUUGUACAGUUUGGAAACAUUUCCACAACAGUUGUCAUUUUGUUUUUGUUGGGGUGAGAGGGAAUGUUAUUUUUAAACACUUUUCUUUCAUUUAAAAAUGCUUCUGUAGGACUACUGUCCCCCAGCCUCUUCCACCUGCCCCCCUUUGUUGGUUUCUGUCUUGUGAGGCUCUCACUCCCCACUUCUCCCACCUGGGCUGUCAGCCAUUUCCAAAUGUAGGGAGAACAACAUUUCUAAGCUGCAUUGGCAUGAGGUCACGAGGCCGUCUGAUGAAGGUGACUGGCUCUAAGAUAUUGGUUGUCCCUUCACAUCAGGUGAUCUCCCGGAGCAGUGUCACUCAUGUUCCCUACCAACUAAAAUCAGGAUCUUCUUAAAAUGAAGAUUUGAUGCUAGGGAUCUGGGGUGGAAGCUGAGAUUCUGCAUUUCUAACAAGCUUCAGAGGAUCCCCAGAAUGUGGAUUCCGGACCACAUUUUGAGUGGAAAGGACACAGAGGGCUGAGGUUCAUAAUCUAGGCAGGUGGGGAGCUCAUUCACAAUCUACCAUGGGCACACAACUUUAGGACAAUCUUGUGACUCCCAGUGUGGUCCCCAAAGGGGCAGCAUUGGUACAUCCUAAGAGCUUGUUAGGAAUGCAGCUCCCGGACCCCAUCCCCCAGACUGAAUCAGAACCUGCAGGCUAACAAGGUCCCCAGGGGAUUCCUUUGCACCUUGAACUCAGAGAUGCGCCGCCUUAGAGCCUGGUUCUCAAUUUAGCCUGCAUCAGAAACACCCAGAGAGCUUGUUAAACAACAUUGCUAGACCCCACUCUCAGAAUUUAUGAUUCACCUCACCAUGGACGGAGCCCAAGAAUUCAUAUUUCUAACAAGUCCCCGGGUGAUACGGAUGCGGCCCAGGGACCCCACGGUGACAACCACUGCCUUAGAGUAAGCUGAUGCCUUGAGACCGGCGGCCGGUAUGCCCCAACCAGAAGUCCCAGAGUGGACCCUAGGGACAUACUUGCUUGCGUAUUUGGAUGGCAAGACCUAUCCAUUCUUUGCUGAAUUUUUGGUGGUUUUAAUAAAAG
rnacentral:lncRNA from 1 species